rnacentral:rRNA from 1 species
AGUAAUGUAUAGGAACUUGCCUAGUAGCGGGGGACGAACGUGUGGAAACGCACGCUAAUACCGCAUACGCUCUACGGAGGAAAGCGGGGGAGUCUUCGGACCUCGUGCUACUAGAUGGGCCUAUAUCAGAUUAGCUAGUUGGUAAGGUAAUGGCUUACCAAGGCGACGAUCUGUAGCUGGUUUGAGAGAAUGAUCAGCCACACUGGGACUGAGACACGGCCCAG